GCCUAAUAUAAAUUUCACAAUACCAUUUUCAGGGAGCAAUCUGGGAAGCUCUUGGAGCCCUCUCCAACAACUAAUCCAAGCAUGUGAAAGCUGAUUUGAGAAAAUUCAGAGUGAUUUGCUGAAGCACCAGAAGCACCGUAAUUUUAUUCCCACGAUGCACAUACAUAUAUGAUAUAUCUAUAAAGAUUCACCAUUUAUCGGAUUACUUAAUAGAUAUUUGGUAUGAAAUGAUCCAUCCAAGAUCAAAGAUGGCAUAAAUGAAGAUGACGAGAUCACCGUGUUUGAUUAUAUUAUGAUAAUCUCAUGUGAUAAUGAUUUCAAAUUAUCCCUACUUCUCAAAUCAUCCCUCAAUCUAAUGAUGGAACAUCCAUUCU
rnacentral:lncRNA from 1 species